AUAUUACAGUGACACGUUUUUUUUCAUAUUUUUCUUAAUACUUAAUAAAUUUAAAUAAAUUUUGGCACUUUCCUGGUAUAUUGGUAUAUUUAUUUAAAAUCUUAUCGUUGCAACUCUGUGCAUGAGUUGUUAUUGCUUGGAAAACAGAAGUGGGAAUAGGAAAUGAAAAACAGUUACGUUAAAUUUUAUUUUCUGUGCAAAUAAUUUUUUCGGUUGCGCUUUUAUAAAUGUGAAAUAUUAGUGUUAAUGUUAAAUGUGUUUAUUUGUGAAUGCUAAAUGCAAAUGAAAAUGUGUUAAGUGAAAAGUGUUGUGCAUUUAAAUUGUUUUUGUGGCUUUAUUGACAUGCAUGUCGCGGCGCAAUAGCGAGAUAAUUUGAAGCCCUCAAAACAAGCCACAAAAAUCUCCAAAACUACUUGCAUAAGCGUUUUUCAACCAAUGAUAAAUAACAAUUAUACAGCAUCUCCAUACGAAACAUAUCAGUAGCAUAUCGAAGAGAAGGUGAAUUGCCGGAUUUUAUUUUUUGGAGAAGACUCAAUACCUCUCAGCUUAGCUCUUUGCAUAGCAGGCACACAGAUGGAACAGUAGAUCCAACGUUUCCAAGAUAACUGUAACGCAGUAAAAUUACUGGGAAAAAAUAUAUUCAACUGCAGAGGAAGUAUUGAAAAAUAUUUGUCCAACUCUACAUUUUUACUUGGUUUACGGCACCAUUUUCGCAUGUAUUUGUGAAUACAAAACGUUUUUGGAGAGCAGAACAUACAUAGAUAUAAGGCUUUAUUUUAGUUUAAUUAUAAUAUUAUUUAUUUCAUUUUAUGUAUUAUUUAAUAUU